CGGAUUGGAGUCUGNAACCCGACUCCAUGAAGCUGGAUUCGCUAGUAAUCGCGCAUCAGCCACGGCGCGGUGAAUACGUUCCCGGGCCUUGUACACACCGCCCGUCAAGCCAUGGAAGCCGGGGGUGCCUGAAGUGCGCUGCCGCAAGGAGCGCCCUAGGGUAAAACCGGUGACUGGGGCUAAGUCGUAACAAGGUACC
rnacentral:rRNA from 1 species